CAGGGCACGCGGGCCGGGGCUCCGGGGAGCUUACGGGUUGGGAAGAGCCUGGUCCUGUUAGUGCCCAAGAUGCACAUUCGUUAACAUGGCAGGUUCUUGGGGAGCUGUGAGGUGCCUGACCUGGAAUGUUCUCUAUUGUCCUUUCU